rnacentral:piRNA from 1 species
UAGGUGCAGCGGAUCGCCGUAGAGACC